GUCCGGGGCUUCGUCUUGACUGGGCGCGAGAAGCUCUUUAGACUCUUGUACCCCUAAAUUUGGCAGGGCCUGUGCUCUGUCAUUUUGUUUAUGUCGAAAGACAACAGUGGAGCUAGUAGA
rfam:Pseudomonadales bacterium RIFCSPLOWO2_12_59_9 rifcsplowo2_12_sub10_scaffold_1069, whole genome shotgun sequence.